rnacentral:rRNA from 1 species
AGUGAACGCUGGCGGUAGGCCUAACACAUGCAAGUCGAACGGCAGCACAGUAAGAGCUUGCUCUUACGGGUGGCGAGUGGCGGACGGGGGAGGAAUACAUCGGAAUCUACUUUUUCGUAGGGGAUAACGUAGGGAAACUUACGCUAAUACCGCAUACGAACUACGGGUGAAAGCAGGGGAUCUUCGGACCUUGCGCGAUUGAAUGAGCCGAUGUCGGAUUAGCUAGUUGGCGGGGUAAAGGCCCACCAAGGCGACGAUCCGUAGCUGGUCUGAGAGGAUGAUCAGUCACACUGGAACUGAGACACGGUCCAGACUCCUACGGGAGGCAGCAGUGGGGAAUAUUGGACAAUGGGCGCAAGCCUGAUCCAGCCAUACCGCGUGGGUGAAGAAGGCCUUCGGGUUGUAAAGCCCUUUUGUUUGGGAGGAAAGGCAGCAGGUUAAUACCCCGCUGUUCUGACGGUACCCAAAGAAUAAGCACCGGCUAACUUCGUG